rnacentral:misc_RNA from 1 species
GGUACAGGUGCCUUGAUCUACUUGUUAAUUCUGUCCUUGCCACUUGGUCUGUGUACAUUGAUAAUAUGCUCAACUUUAGCAGCUGUAAUGCUGAUAUAUGGCAUGUACCAGAAGAAGGCCGCAAAGUUAACUCAAGAGUUCACUGCUUCUGCUAAUCAAGUGGCACAAGAGGCAUUUUCUUUGAUGAGAACAGUCCGUAUUUAUGGUACAGAAAAUUUAGAACUUGAAAG